GACGAACGCUGGCGGCGUGCUUAACACAUGCAAGUCGAACGAUGAAGCUGGAGCUUGCUCCGGUGGAUUAGUGGCGAACGGGUGAGUAACACGUGAGUAAUCUGCCCUUGACUCUGGGAUAACUGCGGGAAACUGUAGCUAAUACCGGAUACGACACCUUCGGGCAUCCGAUGGGUGUGGAAAGAAUUUCGGUCAAGGAUGAACUCGCGGCCUAUCAGCUAGUUGGUGAGGUAAUGGCUCACCAAGGCGACGACGGGUAGCCGGCCUGAGAGGGUGACCGGCCACCCUGGGACUGAGACACGGCCCAGACUCCUACGGGAGGCGGCAGUGGGGAAUAUUGCACAAUGGGCGAAAGCCUGAUGCAGCAACGCCGCGUGAGGGAUGAAGGCCUUCGGGUUGUAAACCUCUUUUAGUUGGGAAGAAGCGAAAGUGACGGUACCAACAGAAAAAGCACCGGCUAACUACGUGCCAGCCGCCGCGGUAA
rnacentral:rRNA from 1 species